GAUGAACGCUGGCGGCGUGCCUAACACAUGCAAGUCGAACGAUUACAGCACCUUCGGGCUUGUAUAAAGUGGCGAACGGCUGAGUAAUACGUCGGCACCCUGCCCCUUUCAUUGGGAUAGCCACCGAAAACCGUGGUUAAUACCCAAUACUUCGAGACUUCCGCAUGGAAGACUCUCGAAAGCCCCGGCGGGGGGGGGUCGGCUCGCGGCCUGUUAGCUUGUUGGGGGGGUAACGGCCUACCAAGGCAAUGAUGGGUAGCUGAGUUGGGGGAUCAAACAGGGAGAAUGGGACUGAGGCACGGCGCAGACGGCAACGGGAGGCAGCAGUGGAGAAUCUGACACAGUGGGGGCGAGUCUGAGGCGAAGGCGCCGGGUGCGGGAAGAAGGCCUUGGGGUAGUAAAAAGGAUUGAGCAAAGACGAGGGGAAAGUGACGGUACCUGCAGAAGAAGCACCGGCUAACUACGUG
rnacentral:rRNA from 1 species